UCGGGAAUUUUGGGCAAUGGGCGCAAGCCUGACCCAGCAACGCCGCGUGAAGGAUGAAGUUUCUCGGAAUGUAAACUUCACAAGAAUGGGAAGAAUAAGUCUGGGCUAAUACCCCUGACGAUGACGGUACCAUUUGUAAGCUCCGGCUAACUCCGUGCCAGCAGCCGCGGUAAUACGGGGGGAGCAAGCGUUGUUCGGAUUUACUGGGCGUAAAGGGCGCGUAGGCGGCGCAACAAGUCGAUUGUGAAAUCUCCGGGCUUAACUCGGAGCGGCCAAUCGAUACUGUCGUGCUAGAGUGCGGAAGGGGCUACUGGAAUUCUCGGUGUAGCGGUGAAAUGCGUAGAUAUCGAGAGGAACACCUGCGGCGAAGGCGGGUAGCUGGGCCGACACUGACGCUGAGGCGCGAAAGCUAGGGGAGCGAACGG
rnacentral:rRNA from 1 species